rnacentral:rRNA from 1 species
AUGUUAGCGGCGGACGGGUGAGUAACACGUGGGUAACCUACCUAUAAGACUGGGAUAACUCCGGGAAACCGGGGCUAAUACCGGAUAAUAUUUUGAACCGCAUGGUUCAAUAGUGAAAGACGGUUUCGGCUGUCACUUAUAGAUGGACCCGCGCCGUAUUAGCUAGUUGGUAAGGUAACGGCUUACCAAGGCGACGAUACGUAGCCGACCUGAGAGGGUGAUCGGCCACACUGGAACUGAGACACGGUCCAGACUCCUACGGGAGGCAGCAGGC